UGAUUAUUUGUAUAUAUUUUCAAGCAUUUAAGCGAACUUAAAAGUAUCAUAUAUAUUCUGGAUGUUUUUAUAUAUAUUAAAUCUAAAAUAAUUAAUAUAUACAAGUAUAUAAAUGUAUUUUGGAUACCCAAAAUACUUCGGUUCGAAUCGGAUUAGGUUUCAGUUCUUCAAAUACCAAAAUUUUGAAUAAUUUGGAUAUUUAAUCAAUUUCGGUUCAGAUUUAGUACUAUAUAUUCAGAUUGGGAUCGGUUCGAUUAUUCGAAUUCGAAUUGUUUGCUCAAUCCUAAAUAGUGACAUAAAAAUCAAAUAGCAUCAUAUUUUUUUAAAAAAUACAUCCGCACGGGCGUACGGGUCAAAAUCUAGUUGGUUCUUAAAUUUCAUCAUCUUGUGGUAUCCUAUUUUGAACAUAUGAAUAUUUCUUUCACGAUGUUGCAAAAUUUGCUACACAAAAUAAAUAUCACAUUAAGUUUUUAUUUCCCCAAAAAUUGAGAAAAGAAGGAAGAGGAAACUUACAGCCAGGGAUCGUCUCCAACAAGCAUCAUUAUCUUUGAAAGUUAGUUUCCAUUAACUUUUCAUAUGCAGCUGUCUGUGAUAUUAAAGAGUUUUUCUAGUUCAACAAUCAUGUGAUUGUAUCCAUCAAAAACAGUUAAAUCCACAGAUCUAACAACACCUUCUAUGUGAACCUAAUCAAUAAACAUAUAAUGUGUUUGUGAACUAAAUAUAGCCGUCUCAAUCUGUUAAAGUUAUACAUGUUUCUUAUCAAUAUUAUAUCUAUUGUAUUAGAAUAAAACCGUGAGUGCAACCAUAUAUAAAAUCAAAUAUUUUCUUAAACCGAACAUGGUUAGUUUUACGAAAUCCUAUGUCUUAUAAUGUUCUAAUAAUAAUAAAUAAUUUGAGAAUUGGGUAAGAAGUAAAGAAUAAGUAGAUGAAUGAUCUUUUCAUACCUUAAUACUACUUGUAUUAGAACUGAUUUCAUUCCUUUGGAAUUCUGUUGCUGAUGUCACUGCUUGAAUUUGAUCAAGAUUUUCUUCUUCAAGGAUUUCAGAAAUUUUAGUCUUUUGGUAUGAGUCGAGUGCUUGCAAAACAUCUCUUGCUUUGGUGGAAGUCGUUAGAUCAACUCCAAACAAUCUGAAUCUAUCAUAUGCAUUGGUGGUUAAAUUUUCUUUUGGUGACUGGACAAUUUGUUUAUUGCAGUUUGGUCUGGACAUAACAGAACCUGCAUAGCUCACUUGCAAGCCAGAUGAAAAUUUUGAAUCAUUAGUUUCAUUAUGAUAACUAACUUGAGGAAGACUCUUCGAAGAUUUUAUGCUUGAUUCUCCAAUUUCUUGGCUUUGAGUCAACCUAUGAAUCAUCAUAUUUGAACUUAUAUAUAGAAAUAUGAUGACAAUUAAACCAAAAAGAAACAUAACUUAUUAAAAAUAUUCUCUUACCAAAUUCAUUUAUUUCACAUUGGCGUUUGCAUAUUUAAAAAACGGACUUUUGAGAAUGAUUGAUGAAGGUAUUAAAUGCUUGAUUUCCCAUGGAAAAACCUUAUUAGGUCUAAGGAUCGUUGCAGUUUCAUCCCACUGUACCUAUAAAAAUAAAAUCAUGGAUUUUACUUAUUGUUCUUUUGAAAUCAUAUUCUAGAAUAAUAUUAAAAAAUUAGUUAGAAGUAACUUUUACUAGUAGGCUUUGCCAUUCUGAAUCCUUCCAAUGAAUAGAAAAUCUUCCACUUUUACUAUUGUCCCAGAAUAUCUUUGCGGUAAAAAAUUUUUUUGUAAGUAAACAUAUUUAGAAUUAUGUAAACAUUAUAUGAGUGUCAAAAAUUUACGUUAUUUCAUUAAAAUCAUAUCCUUCAAACUUCAUAAUAAAUCUUGAUCCUAUAUUGAACUUCGUAUUCACUGCAUCUAUGAAUUUGUCGCAGUUGACAAUAAAUUGGCUCGACCUAGUAUCAUCAUAUCAAGAAUAAAUUAAAUAUGCUUAAAUAAAGUAUUCUCAUGAUGUUUAAGUAGAGUAACAAAGUAUUUUUUCCUUACUUUGGCUUAUAAAACACAUCGAAGAUACAUUUGGUUUUAAUAUCAUUCAACGCAGUAGCAAUUAAGCCAUGGUGCAUACUUUCUUUUGAAAUUGUUAAUGAUGAUAUUUUGCUUUGUUGAGGAGCUGCCUUUCUCAUUCCAACUCGUGAUUCCUCAUUCUUUCCUCUAGAAUUAAAAAAUACUUAAAAUACAAAAAGAUUAAGAAACAAAGGAGAUGUAAAAUGAAAAAAAAAUGUAUAUACCUAAGGAAUAUAAAAUAGUCUCCAACGGUCAAACUUUUUUCUUUUGCAAACUCAUUCUAACCAGAUGUGAAAAGAUGUCUUUGUAGUGAUCUUGUUGAUAAUUUAUAGAUAAAUAAAGAUUAGUAGUCACUACCUAACAAUUUUGAUAUAAGAACUUAGCUGCCUUUAAAGGUUUGUGUUUAAGUUUCCAGACAUGAUCAUGGAGAUCUUUAGCAAUUAUCUCUUGACUCGGUUGUAGCUGUGACAUAUCCUACAAAAAGUUUAAUACAAAGCAUCAUAUACAAUCUUACAAUUUAAGUCAAUGAUGAAUUUGUUUGGUGUAAAUAUUAAAAGAAAAUAUCAGUAUAUUAAAUGAAACACCAUGUGUGCUUGUAUCCGAAGCAGAUAACACCUUGGUAAAAUAGUUAAUGUUUUGUUCGUUGUUGUCAUUAGGAAUAGGGAUUUCAAAUUCCUAAAUAAAUAAAUUGAUAAAAUUAUUUAAAUAUAUUAGAAGAGGUAUUAUUAUAUAUAAUUUCUCACUUAUAGAUGAAUAUGGUAACAACUAAACUUUUGCAUAAACUUCUUCUGAAUUGGUCUCCACCUGAAAUUAUGUAUAGAACACUUUUUUUUGUCAACCAUGCAUAAAACAUAUUAAAACCAUAUUAUGUACAGUUUUUAACCAAUUGAUCUCAUGAAUAUUUCCUAUAAAAAGAAACAUAAAAUACCAAAAUACAUACAUUAAGCUUAAUACUAACAACAUUACAGUGAAUUUUUGAAGAAAUAUCAAAAAUUGGUUUUAAUUGGCACAAGUCAUCAUUCGCUGAUGCUACAAGCUGAUAAUGUCAUAAAACUGUAAAAAAAGUUUGUAUAAUAACAAAAUAUGAUAAAUAAUGUGAAUGUAUUCAUAGAAAACAUUUUUCUGCUCUAUGUGCCCUUGAGGAAAAUAAUAAAGUUCUUCUCCAAUUUUUUUUUUUGACAAAGGGCAUUCAAACAACGAUCAAGCACAUAACUUCCAUAAUUGAUCGUACAAAUAUCUAUUGGUUCCAUCAGUUCCUAUAUGAAUACAUAAAAUAUGGUUAUGAGUAAAAUAUUUCUGAUAAAUCAAAAGCUAAAUUUGAGUUCAGAUUUUUUUUCCAGUUAUACCUAGAAAUUUAGGUUGCGCAUUCAUAAUUUGGUUAUUCUCCAUCAGCUUUUACCAAAUACCGGUCUUGAAUUGCAACUUACACACAAAUAUCACCAAAUUCAGAAUGGUUGUUAACAUGGUAUUGUAUCUCAAAAUUGUAUGUUUUAAUUAUGAUUAAAAAUACACAUAUGAGCGUUGUAAGUUUUGCAUUAAAUUAAAGUUUUAUUUGAAUUUGCAUAUAAUAUUUUUGUGUUCAGGUAUUGUUAUACGGAUUUGUCAUUAUAUUAAAAUAUAUUAAAUUCAAAAGAGUAUAUAUAUAUAUAUAUAUCAUGAUACACAGGUUUGUGUAUUUAUUUUUCAAGUACAAUUACAUGAUAGAUGAAGAAUUUAAAAUCAAAUUUUACAAAUUCUAUUACAAUAUAAAAUCAGGAUUAUUCAUAAAAUAGAACCAAACACCUAGUAAUCACAAUACUAAAGCAGCAUUUCCUCAAAAUCUAUGCUGCAACGUCAUAAAAAUAAUUGGCCAAUCACAACAUUUCGUUCUCGGUUUGGGCUUCGUUCCGUUUUCGCCUAUGGGCUUAGAAUUGGUUUUGAGUUCGGUUGAGGCUUUGUGGUCUACCUAAAUCUAGAUCUACGGAGGCAAGUCGCGAGUCUCUCCUUCUCUUCCCCAUUUCUCUUCGUCUUCUCUUCUGAAGCCAUAGCGUCUGUGUUUUGAUCAUAUCAUGGGCUUCGUUAGCGUGGUUUGGACCGAGAAUUAGGACAGUGUAUCCGGUCCGAUAAAGUGUAUUUUGCCUCUAACCCUAAUACGGCUGAAGCGAAGACACGAAGUUCAUUUCUCUUCUUCGUGCGACGGCAACGAUGAGACGUUUGCGCUUCCUCUCCAUAUCUAAAACCUUCCAGAGCUAUGGCUUCAUGUUUUAUCCCUCCUCCAUGAUUACAGAAGGAAUCUUCCCCUAUAAAUAACAACUUCGAUUGAACUCAUCACUACGAUAAAAAAAUGUUUGGUUUCAUCCAAGGAUAUUAGCGUGUCUUUGAUAUUGGUAAGUGAUUGUUCUUUUUGCUUUUUCUUUUGUUAAUUUAUACUUCCCAGUGAUUUAUUAAUUCUUUUUGUCGGUGUAAUUCCCUAGCUUGCAUUGAUCACAGAGAUAAACCAAAACAUUCUCCAAGGAUACACUCGAGAAAGAUGAAGAGCCAUAUGCGUAGGUAGACAUUCCAAAGUGUCUGUAUGAUGCAAGGAUCUUAGAGUAUGUUCAUGAGGCCUGCUUGAUUAGUUACUAACACAUUCCAAACACUCCAAUACUUUCUUCACAGUGGGCUGCUGCAUUUUGUCUCUGUCGAAAACCAGAAGAAGAACGUUUGGCAAUGGACGUAUGUUUAUGCAUCAAAAAACUAAAGGUCUUUCACGGCUCACUGGACCCCGUGCUGGGUAUCGAGGAAGUGUUCGAGCACAUGGUGACAUAUGUGGUUCUCAAUGGGGAUGGGUGAGCCGAUGUUGAACCUAGAGUCAGUACUACUUGAUGCUCAUCGUUGUUUGAAUGAGUUUACAUGGUCCAUCCAAACCGGGAGAAAAUGUACCAAGUGCCAAGUCUUAUCCGCUGGAAGCAAUUGUGAAGGAUUGUUGUGAAGUAACAAACAGACGAAUCUCCUUCGAGUAUGCUAUUCUAGGUUUGAUACUUUACAACCCGAUACAUGGUUGUGCCAACAUUAAGUGCUGCCCGAAGCUAGAAAAAAAAGCAAUUUAAAAACUGUCAACUGUACAUAGAGCUUUUGUAGUUUAGUCCUCAGUUGAGGCUCCACAAACUCUUUGUCUUGAAAUACAAACCAGCAUUAUAAAAAAAAGACAAUUGUUUUCAUUUUUUUUUUUUUGAAGUUUCUUUAAAUAUACAUGUUUUCAUUGGUCUCAUAUGUUACUUAACUCAUGGAGAUGUUAAUGAUUUUAUAUAUAAAAAAUGCCCGAGGCCAGUGCUUCAUUUUUUUCUCACGUAAGCACGGUACUGCAGCGAUACAACUCGAUAUGAGGAUCAUGUAAAAUAUUAAAUAUAUAUUUUAAAAAUCAUCAUCCCAAAUUAAAAAAAUUAUUGGAGUUCAAGAACAAGCAAGAAAAAAUAAUUUCUAUCUAUCUUCAUUAUAUUUAUUGUUAGUUGAGAAUAUUUUGGUUUCAUACAAUUUAACUGUAUUUCUCAAAUAUAAAACAAAUAACUACAUUGAGCCAAAAAAAAAUUAAAACAAUAUUAUUCACUUGGAAAAUACUACAAAAUAUUAAAUUAAAACUGGAAAAUUAAAUAAUUGAAAAUUAAAAAUAUUUAAAACAUUUUACAUAAUCCUAAACAAAUAUAUCUGAGCUUCAAAAGCAUAGAUUACUUACGCGUCGACAAUAUCGUCUUUGACAGUAAACAAAUUUAAAUAAUUUAAAUAGAAUCUGUUAAGCCAUAUAUUUUAGUGUUAAUAUAUACUCCUUCCGUUUUAUAUAAAAUAUUAUUUUAUGUUUAAAGUUUGUUUCAUUAUAAGUGUUUUUUUUUCAAUGCAUAUAUUAAUCAAAAUUUUCAGCUUUUACCAUUAUUUUUAACUCAUUAAUUAAUAAAGCAAUGUGUUAAAUAGGGGCACAACAUAAAAUUUAAUAGAUAAACUGAAAAGAAGUGUGAAGCCAUUUUUAAUUCGUUUUAGCUUCCUCUCUGAUUAAUUGAUGUCAUAUUGGAUUUUGUUUGGUAUGGUAUUGAAAUUGGUUUCAAACCAGAAUUUAACUUUAAAAUAAAAUUACAAUUCAAAUUCUCUAUGUAUAUAAGCAAAGGAGCUACUUUGUAUUUGUGUAUUAAGUUUGUUAAAUAUAUGCAUAUGAAUUAAAAUAAAGAAUAUUUUUUAUUAAAUCCGGUUUACUAUGGUUAUACUAGACUAGCAAUAGUAAAAAUAUAUAUUCUGUUAAUUAAAUUUGGUUUAGUAUGGUUACACUACACUAGCAAAUGCCUUAACAGAAGCUAAGUCUACAAUAACAUCAGCAUACACAGUACACACACAAAUGAUCAAGUAAUACAUGUAAUAUGGUCCAGAUGGUUAAUGCUCUCUAAGUUUUUUUAUGUAGAAAAUAUUAUAACAUUUAAACUGCUGAUUUUCGAAAAAAAAAUAUUAAGUAAGGUUGUAGAUUUAAAGGGGGAGGGCCCAUUAAAUUACUUGGUAAUUGGAAACAAAAGUUAUAAAAGUUGCAAGUGAAAUGAACCAUAUCUAUAGUCCAACCAAUUAAACACCAUAAGUAAAAUUUAAUUAAUUUUUUUUUUUCAUUUUGCUUAUCACCUUAUAUAUUUUUCAAUAACAAAAAUAAAAAAAUUUGGAUACUGAAAUUCAAAAUUGGUAAGAAAAAAAACAAUGAAAAUUUAAAAAAUUAUAAUAAUAUAUCUACUUAUUUUUAAUAGAUUAUACUAUUUAAAUAUUAAAUAAAUAUACAAAAUAUAUAAUCAAAAUUAAAUUUUAAACAAAAAAUCCGGGCGUAGCCGGGCCGACCCUAGUCUAUAUAAUAAUAGAUGAGUUGCUGCUCUCUUCUAAAGCUGUAUACGUCGACACAAUUGAGUUAAGUGGGACCCACAACUAUUCAAUUCUUCUUUACAAUUAAAUAAAAAUGUAUAAUUAAUUUAUCAUAAUCUCUAAUUUUCUAUUUCUUAUAUUUCCUAUGUAUAUCUGAAACGUUGUAUUAUCUGUAACCGUUCACAUUCAAAUCUAUGGCUUCGAAUGUUACGAACUGCCACGCCAUGCACCGCAGUUAACAGUAACAAAAAUCUCUAAAUAUACCAUAUAUUUUAUACGUUUUUAUAACUGUUAAAAUCGCACCGCAGUUAAACCGCCUGUCCCGCACUGCUCAAACCGCAGUUACCAUUCAGAGCCUAUAAAUAUUUCUCUUCUCUCUGUUCUUUCACAUCUAUUUUCACGGAGAAAGAGAAAAGACUAAACCUUUUGUGAAAUAUUUUAAUUUUUCAGAUCAGAUCUUUUUGUUUUCUGUUUUAGUUCUGGUCAAGCGAUCUAUGCUUGGUCGGAUCUUAUCUUUCGCUUAGCGAGUUUGUACUUUUUUUGUUGUGUGUUUCGAUUCAAACAGAACCGUUCUUCAAUGGUUUUUAUUUUUCUUCUGUUUGAGUCGAGAAAUAAAUUUCCAAUCUAUCAGAUUGGAUUCUCGGGUAGCUCUCUAAGCAUCACUUAACUCCAUCUGAUCUCUACUCAACUAGGUCGACCGAGUUUGAAGAGGGCAAUAUCGCGUCUGCUUGCCAUCAAUCCUGAGUGGGGCGGCGAAGUUCUUCCGAUUAACUUCACCGGAGACGUGAACGCUCUCAUCACAGCCAGCUGUUGAAGGUUGAUGAUGAGUGAGGAAGGCGAUCAAAGAGAAGCUGCAUCCCUUUACAGGUGAAGAUUGGUGGUCCGGCAACAAAGCCAUGGUAAAUCGAGGAUCUACUGGCGAAGUCGUUAGCUUUUUCACACCAGGCAGCGGCGCACGGUCAAGAGGAUAACUGCAUGAACGAUGCGUGGCUGUUUCCCUAUCACUUGAGGCGGUGGAGGCUUGGAGCGGUAUAUUGGGCAUCCUCCAUCUUUGGGCUUAGUAACUUUAAUUUCAUAGUUUGAAAGUGUGAGAUUUGGGCCAUUAUCAUUGCUUGUAUAGUCAAUAGAUUGGAUCUCGGAAUCACCAACGAAACAUAUCCCUUAUUUUACGCAAUCAUUCAACUAAAAUUGAAUAAUAUACGUGGCUAAAUAUUAUUUUCUA